UCUAGCGUCUUCCUUGCGGCGACUUUUGGUUGUAAUGGGGCUGUGUCAAAUUGCGCUUCUGCUUCCAGCGCUGAGGAGAGGGCGCUCUCAGAAGAGACUUCCAGAAUGAGCAGAGGACAGUGAGGAGGGUAGGACCUAAAUCCACGGUUUUGUAUGAGCCCGAAAGCACCUGUAACGGAGCUGUCCCCCUCGCCUGUCCGGCGCCUCGACACUAGCCCUUCGUUUCCGAGGCACCCGCUGGGGACCUUGUUGAGCCUUUACACAGCGGAGACUGAGGUCCCUGGUCACCCGGCCCAGGGCUGGGGUGAGGGGUCGGCUGAGGCCGCUGGACGCGCUUUAGUCCCUGCUUCUCGCGGUCUCGCUCCGCCCGUGGGCGUCGUGGCGGCGCCGGCGCUGACGCUGGCCUCCUUAUUCCCUGAGACACAAUAUUGAAACUAAGCCAGAUGAUAACCCUACAAUGGCCUCUAAGUGUUCAAGCGAAAGGAAGAGUCACACAUCUCUCACUUUAAAUCAAGAGCUAGAAAUGAUUCAGCUUAGCGAGCAAGGCAUUCAAAAGCCAAAAGAGGCUGAAAGCUAGGCCUCUCGCACCAGACAGCCAAGUUGUGAAGGCAAAGGCAGAGUUCUUGAGGAAAAUUAAAAGUGCUACUCCAGUGAACACACAAAUGUGUGAACACCAGCCACGACAUUCCCAUAAACCACAGCCUAAUCCGGAGCAAGGCCCUAACUCUUCAGUUGUAGGUAGGCUGAGAGAGGUGAGGAAGCUGCAGAAGAGAAGCUGGAAAUGAGCAGAGGUUGAUGCAUGCAGUUUAAGAAGCCAUCUCUCGAACAGAAAAGUACAAGGUAAAGCCGAGAGUGCUGAUAGUAGGAGCUGCGGCAAGUUCUCCAGAAGAUCUAACUAAAACAAUUCAUUGAAGGUGGCUACACUAAACAACAGAUUUUCAAUGUAGAUGAAACACCUUCCAUUGGGAAAGUUGUCAUCUAGGACUUUCACAGCUAGAGAGAAGCCAGUGCCUGGCUUAGAGGUUCAAAGUACACGCCGACUCUGCUUAGGGGCAAAUGCAGCUGAUGACUUUAAGUGGAAACCAGUGUCCACUGACCAUUCUGAAAAUCCAAGGACCCUUAAGAAUUAUGCUAAUUCUCUUCUGCCUGUGCUCUGUGAAUGAAAGUACAGAGCCUGGAUGACAGCACAUCUGCGUAUAGCUUGGCUUAUUGAAUGUUUUAGGCCCACUGUUAAGACCUAGUGCUCAGGAAAAAAAAAAAUUCUUUUCAAAAAUAUAUGGUCUGAUUGACAAUGCACUGGUCACCCAAGAGGUCUGGUAGAGAAAUGUACAAUGAGAUUAAUGUUUUCAUGACUGCUAACACAUCAGUUUUGCAGCCCAUGAAUCAAGAAGUAAUUUUGCCUUUCAAGUCUUUUUAAGAAAAACAUUUUGUAAGGCUAUAGCUGCCGUAGAUAGUGAUUCCUCUGAUGGAUCUGGGCAAAGUCAAUAAAAAUCUUCUGGAAAGAAAAAAAAAAUCUUCUGGAAAGAAUUCAUCCUUCUAGAUGCCAUUCAUGAUUCAUGAUUCACGGAAAGAGGUCAAAUUAUCAACAUGAACAAGAGUUUGGAGGAAGUUGAUCUAAUCCUUGUGGAUGACUUUGAGGAUAUAAGGCUUGAGCAGAGGAAAUUACUGCAGAUGUGGCAGAAAGAGCAAGUGAACUCGAAUUACAAGUGGAGGCUGAGGAUGUGACUGAAUUGCUGUGAUCUCAUUCAGCCGAAGGGACGAGGAGCUGCUCUUUAGGGAUGAGCAAAGAACAUGGUUUCUUAAAAUGGGGUCUCCUCCUGGGGGAGAUGGUGAAGAUUGCUGAAAUGACAGCAGAGCACUUAGAUUGUUACCUAAGUUAGUUGAUAAAGCAGCAACAAAGUUUGGGAAGAUUGACUCCAGUUUUUAAAUGGGUAAAAUGCUGUCAGCACUUCAUGACAGAGAAAUCAUUCUUGAAAAGUCAACCGAUGCGGCAGACUUCAUUGCAGUCUUAUUUUAAGAAAUGGCCACAGCCACCCCAGCCUUCAGCAACUGCCACCCUGAUCAGUGAGCAGCCACCAACAAAAGACCCCCUCCUCCACCAGCAAAAAGAUUAUGACUUACAGAAACUCAGAUUAUAUUGAGCAAUAAAGUAUUUUUCAAUUAAGGCAUCGAUGACCUUCAAUAACUUGGUCAUAACUUGACCGUGAGGGCAGCUGCACUCAGCCCAGAGGACUUGUACUGAGAGGUGAUACGGAAGGCUGUGUUUGGGCUUCGGAUCUCACUGGGUAAAGCCUCACCUCUCCUCCAUGAUGCCCCCUUCAUUCUGCCUUUUCUUCAGAACACAUCUUUAGGGCACCCUUCCUCCUUCCUGCAGCCCAGAACUGCUUACAAACAGCAUCAUUGCAAAGAAAGAUUUACAGAGAAUUCCUACAUCCGUCAGGCUGUUCUCGGAUUAAUCUUCUGAUGUCUA